rnacentral:rRNA from 1 species
CAGCAGCCGCGGUAAUACGUAGGGCGCAAGCGUUAUCCGGAUUUAUUGGGCGUAAAGCGCACGUAGGCGGUUGGGUAAGUCUCAUGGUGAAAGGCCGGGGCUCAACCUCGAGCUUGCCAGGGAUACUGUCCGACUGGAGACAGGGAGAGGCCAGUGGAAUUCCGGGUGUAGCGGUGGAAUGCGUAGAGAUCCGGAAGAACACCGGAGGCGAAGGCGGCUGGCUGGCCCUGAUCUGACGCUGAGGUGCGAAAGCGUGGGGAGC